CUGUGAAGAUGCAGUGUACCCGCGGCUAGACGGAAAGACCCCGUGAACCUUUACUACAGCUUGGCACUGAACAUUGACCCUACAUGUGUAGGAUAGGUGGGAGGCUUUGAAGCAGGUACGCCAGUAUCUGUGGAGCCGUCCUUGAAAUACCACCCUUGUAGUGUUGAUGUUCUAACGUUGACCCCUAAUCGGGGUUGCGGACAGUGCCUGGUGGGUAGUUUGACUGGGGCGGUCUCCUCCCAAAGAGUAACGGAG
rnacentral:rRNA from 1 species